CCGAACAAAAAAGGAGAAGAGAAGGGGGGAGGAAGAGAGGCUACAGUGAGGAGAAAAACAGAAGGGAGACAGUUUAGGAGAACGUGAGAAAAUUGAGAGAUCGGAGAAAUAGUGAGAAAGCAAAAGGGAGAGAAGAGGAAGCAAACCGAACGGAAGCAGAGGACACGGUGAAGCAGAGAACGCAGCACCACCAUCGUCUCUUUCUUCUCAAAACCAGGUGUGUUCACUGCCUUUCUCAGUUCCUACAGAAUGAGAUGAUGCAUGUUAGUAUGUAAAAAACGAAAAGAAAACAUAAGGAAACCAACACCGAGAAUCACCAGUUGCAACACUUUGUUUUUUCUUUUGUUUCAUUCUCGCACAGCAAGAAAGGUGAUGAACAGUG
rnacentral:lncRNA from 1 species